rnacentral:rRNA from 1 species
GAUGAACGCUGGCGGCGUGCUUAACACAUGCAAGUCGAACGAAGCGCUUAAACGGAUUUCUUCGGAAUGAAGUUUUUGCGACUGAGUGGCGACGGGUGAAGUAACGCGUGGGUAACCUGCCUCAUACAGGGGGAUAACAGUUAGAAAUGACUGCUAAUACCGCAUAAGCGCACAGUGCUGCAUGGCACAGUGUGAAAAACUCCGGUGGUAUGAGAUGGACCCGCGUCUGAUUAGCUGGUUGGUGGGGUAACGGCCCACCAAGGCGACGAUCAGUAGCCGACCUGAGAGGGUGAUCGGCCACAUUGGGACUGAGACACGGCCCAA